UCCUGGUUAACCCAGGCAGUCUCAUUAGAGUUCCCACCUUAAAUGUUGGCAACUAAUGAUAAGGGUUGCGCUCGUUGCGGGACUUAACCCAACACCUCACGGCACGAGCUGACGACAGCCAUGCAGCACCUGUGCAGAUGCCCCGAAGGGAGAUCCUAUUUCUAGGACUGUCAUCUGCAUGUCAAACCUGGGUAAGGUUCUUCGCGUUGCAUCGAAUUAAACCACAUGCUCCACUGCUUGUGCGGGUCCCCGUCAAUUCUUUUGAGUUUCACCCUUGCGAGUGUACUCCCCAGGCGGUAUACUUAACGCGUUAGCUACGGCACAACCGGGGUUGAGUCCAGUUACACCAAGUAUACAUAGUUUACGGCAAGGACUAC
rnacentral:misc_RNA from 1 species